UACGUAGGGUGCAAGCGUUAAUCGGAAUUACUGGGCGUAAAGCGUGCGCAGGCGGUUUUGUAAGUCUGUCGUGAAAUCCCCGGGCUCAACCUGGGAAUGGCGAUGGAGACUGCAAGGCUAGAGUUUGGCAGAGGGGGGGUAGAAUUCCACGUGUAGCAGUGAAAUGCGUAGAUAUGUGGAGGAACACCGAUGGCGAAGGCAGCCCCCUGGGUCAAAAACUGACGCUCAUGCACGAAAGCGUGGGGGAGCAAACAGG
rnacentral:rRNA from 1 species